rnacentral:rRNA from 1 species
GAUGAACGCUGGCGGCGUGCUUAACACAUGCAAGUCGAACGGAAAGGCCCAAGCUUGCUUGGGUACUCGAGUGGCGAACGGGUGAGUAACACGUGGGUGAUCUGCCCUGCACUUCGGGAUAAGCCUGGGAAACUGGGUCUAAUACCGGAUAGGACCACUUCUUGGAUGUUGUGGUGGAAAGUUUUUUCGGUGUGGGAUGAGCUCGCGGCCUAUCAGCUUGUUGGUGGGGUAAUGGCCUACCAAGGCGUCGACGGGUAGCCGGCCUGAGAGGGUGUACGGCCACAUUGGGACGGAGAUACGGCCCAGACUCCUACGGGAGGCAGCAGUGGGGAAUAUUGCACAAUGGGCGCAAGCCUGAUGCAGCGACGCCGCGUGGGGGAGGACGGCCUUCGGGUGGUAAACUCCUUUCGCUAGGGACGAAGCGUUUUGUGACGGUACCUGGAGAAGAAGCACCGGCUAACUACG